rnacentral:rRNA from 1 species
AGCAGCCGCGGUAAUUCCAGCUCCAAUAGCGUAUAUUAAAGUUGUUGCAGUUAAAAAGCUCGUAGUUGAACUUCGAGGUUUACCCAUUGGUCAGGCUUAAUUGUCUGUACUGGUGAGAUGAAUCUCUACCUUCUGAGGAACUUUUAUGCCAUUUAGUUGGUGUGAUAGGAAAUCAGAACUGUUACUUUGAAAAAUUAGAGUGUUUAAAGCAGGCUAACGUCUGAAUACAUUAGCAUGGAAUAAUGAAAUAGGACGGAUUGGUUCUAUUUCGUUGGUUUCUAGGAUCACCGUAAUGAUUAAUAGGGAUAGUUGGGGGCAUUAGUAUUCAAUUGUCAGAGGUGAAAUUCUUGGAUUUAUUGAAGACUAACUAUUGCGAAAGCAUUUGCCAAGGAUGUUUUCAUUAAUCAAGAACGAAAGUUAGGGGAUCGAAGACGAUCAGAUACCGUCGUAGUCUUAACCGUAAACUAUGCCGACUAGGGAUCGGACGAAGUUAAUUUUAUAAUGACGCGUUCGGCACCUU